GUUGUAUGGUUAAGUGACUAAGCGUACACGGUGGAUGCCUUGGCAGUCAGAGGCGAUGAAAGACGUAGUAACUUGCGAUAAGCCCAGAUUAGGUAGUAACAACCAUUUGAGUCUGGGAUUUCUGAAUGGGGAAACCCACGUGCAUAAGCACGUAUCCUUACCUGAAUACAUAGGGUAAGGAGGCGAACCGGGGGAACUGAAACAUCUAAGUACCCCGAGGAAAAGAAAUCAACCGAGAUUCCGAAAGUAGCGGCGAGCGAAAUUGGACUAGCCCUUAAGCUUUACACGCGUUAGACGAACGGUCUGGAAAGUCCGACGAUACAGGGUGAUAGUCCCGUAGUUGACGACGUGUGUUCAGUGAAAUCGAGUAGGGCGGGACACGUGAUAUCCUGUCUGAAUAUGGGGGGACCAUCCUCCAAGGCUAAAUACUACUGACUGACCGAUAGUGAACCAGUACCGUGAGGGAAAGGCGAAAAGAACCCCUGUGAGGGGAGUGAAAUAGAACCUGAAACCGUGUACGUACAAGCAGUAGGAGCAGGCUUUGUCCUGUGACUGCGUACCUUUUGUAUAAUGGGUCAGCGACUUAUAUUCAGUGGCAAGGUUAACCAUCUAGGGGAGCCGUAGGGAAACCGAGUCUUAACUGGGCGUUCAGUCUCUGGAUAUAGACCCGAAACCAGGUGAUCUAGCCAUGGGCAGGUUGAAGGUUGAGUAACAUCAACUGGAGGACCGAACCGACUAAUGUUGAAAAAUUAGCGGAUGACUUGUGGCUAGGGGUGAAAGGCCAAUCAAACCUGGAGAUAGCUGGUUCUCCCCGAAAGCUAUUUAGGUAGCGCCUCGGACGAAUACUACUGGGGGUAGAGCACUGUUAAGGCUAGGGGGUCAUCCCGACUUACCAACCCUUUGCAAACUCCGAAUACCAGUAAGUACUAUCCGGGAGACACACGGCGGGUGCUAACGUCCGUCGUGGAGAGGGAAACAACCCAGACCGCCAGCUAAGGUCCCAAAUUACUACUAAGUGGGAAACGAUGUGGGAAGGCUCAGACAGCCAGGAUGUUGGCUUAGAAGCAGCCAUCAUUUAAAGAAAGCGUAAUAGCUCACUGGUCGAGUCGGCCUGCGCGGAAGAUGUAACGGGGCUAAGUAGUAAACCGAAGCUGCGGCAAUAUACUUUUGUAUAUUGGGUAGGGGAGCGUUCUGUAAGCGGUUGAAGGUGUGUGGUAACGCAUGCUGGACGUAUCAGAAGUGCGAAUGCUGACAUGAGUAACGAUAAAGGGGGUGAAAAACCUCCUCGCCGGAAGACCAAGGGUUCCUGUCCAACGUUAAUCGGGGCAGGGUAAGUCGACCCCUAAGGCGAGGCCGAAAGGCGUAGUCGAUGGGAAACGGGUUAAUAUUCCCGUACUUCUUACAAUUGCGAUGGGGGGACGGAGAAGGCUAGGUGGGCCUGGCGACGGUUGUCCAGGUUCAAGUGCGUAGGCUUAAGAGUUAGGUAAAUCCGGCUCUCUCUAAGGCUGAGACACGACGUCGAGCACCUACGGGUGUGAAGUCAUUGAUGCCAUGCUUCCAGGAAAAGCCUCUAAGCUUCAGAUUGUAAGGAAUCGUACCCCAAACCGACACAGGUGGUCGGGUAGAGAAUACCAAGGCGCUUGAGAGAACUCGGGUGAAGGAACUAGGCAAAAUGGUACCGUAACUUCGGGAGAAGGUACGCUCUCGACGGUGAAGUCCCUUGCGGAUGGAGCUAUUGAGAGUCGCAGAUACCAGGUGGCUGCAACUGUUUAUUAAAAACACAGCACUGUGCAAAAUCGUAAGAUGACGUAUACGGUGUGACGCCUGCCCGGUGCCGGAAGGUUAAUUGAUGGGGUUAGACUUCGGUCGAAGCUCUUGAUCGAAGCCCCGGUAAACGGCGGCCGUAACUAUAACGGUCCUAAGGUAGCGAAAUUCCUUGUCGGGUAAGUUCCGACCUGCACGAAUGGCGUAAUGAUGGCCACGCUGUCUCCACCCGAGACUCAGUGAAAUUGAAAUCGCUGUGAAGAUGCAGUGUACCCGCGGCUAGACGGAAAGACCCCGUGAACCUUUACUACAGCUUGGCACUGAACAUUGACCCUACAUGUGUAGGAUAGGUGGGAGGCUUUGAAGCACGUACGCCAGUAUGUGUGGAGCCGUCCUUGAAAUACCACCCUUGUAGUGUUGAUGUUCUAACGUCGACCCCUAAUCGGGGUUGCGGACAGUGCCUGGUGGGUAGUUUGACUGGGGCGGUCUCCUCCCAAAGAGUAACGGAGGAGCACGAAGGUGGGCUAAUCACGGUUGGACAUCGUGAGGUUAGUGCAAUGGCAUAAGCCCGCUUGACUGCGAGAAUGACAAUUCGAGCAGGUGCGAAAGCAGGUCAUAGUGAUCCGGUGGUUCUGAAUGGAAGGGCCAUCGCUCAACGGAUAAAAGGUACUCCGGGGAUAACAGGCUGAUACCGCCCAAGAGUUCAUAUCGACGGCGGUGUUUGGCACCUCGAUGUCGGCUCAUCACAUCCUGGGGCUGAAGUCGGUCCCAAGGGUAUGGCUGUUCGCCAUUUAAAGUGGUACGCGAGCUGGGUUUAGAACGUCGUGAGACAGUUCGGUCCCUAUCUGCCGUGGGCGUUGGAAGAUUGAAGGGGGCUGCUCCUAGUACGAGAGGACCGGAGUGGACGAACCUCUGGUGUUCGGGUUGUGUCGCCAGACGCAUUGCCCGGUAGCUAAGUUCGGAAUCGAUAACCGCUGAAAGCAUCUAAGCGGGAAGCGAGCCCUGAGAUGAGUCUUCCCUGAUACUUUAAGUAUCCUAAAGGGUUGUCGGAGACUACGACGUUGAUAGGUCAGGUGUGUAAGUGCUGUGAGGCAUUGAGCUAACUGAUACUAAUUGCCCGUGAGGCUUAACCAUACAACACCCAAGGGGUUU
rnacentral:rRNA from 17 species